AGCCUGUGAUGACAAACUAAAUAAACUUUUCUGACACCUACUAUGAGAGCUGAGCUCCAGCUCCUGAUUCUAGCUUUUUUUCUGAGGCUC
ensembl:snoRNA